rnacentral:lncRNA from 1 species
AAAAAAAAUGUGUUUAUACUAUAACUUACAUUUACUGCUUUAUGGCUAUCCAAGUUUCUCAAAUGUUUAGUCUUGCUUAAAGUAUUAUUACUUGAAACGUCGUACAAGUCAGAUAAAAAACAAAAGUAACAAAAGAAACAGGCCGGUUACAACCAGCCGAAUAGUUUUUCUACACUUGUAGUCAGGUCAAGGUCCUCGGCUAUCGCCUCGGAC